rnacentral:rRNA from 1 species
UUGAGACCGGCGAACGGGUGCGUAACGCGUAUGCAACCUACCUUUAUCAGGGGGAUAGCCCAGAGAAAUUUGGAUUAAUACCGCAUAAUAUAUUUGCUGGCAUCGGUGAAUAUUGAAAGAUUUAUUGGAUAGAGAUGGGCAUGCGUAGGAUUAGCUAGUUGGUGAGGUAACGGCUCACCAAGGCGACGAUCCUUAGGGGCUCUGAGAGGAGUAACCCCCACACUGGUACUGAGAUACGGACCAGACUCCUACGGGAGGCAGCAGUAGGGAAUAUUGGACAAUGGGCGGAAGCCUGAUCCAGCCAUGCCGCGUGCAGGAAGACGGCCCUCUGGGUUGUAAACUGCUUUUAUAUGGGAAGAAAAUGGCUUUGCGAAGCAAAUUGACGGUACCAUAGGAAUAAGCCACGGCUAACUACGUGCCAGCAGCCGCGGUAAUACGUAGGUGGCGAGCGUUAUCCGGAUUUAUUGGGUUUAAAGGGUGCGUAGGCGGCUUUUUAAGUCGGUGGUUAAAGGUAGCAGCUUAACUGUUUUACAUGCCAUCGAUACUGAAGAGCUUGAGUUAUCAGAAGGCAGGCGGAAUUUCUGGUGUAGCGGUGAAAUGCAUAGAUACCAGAAGGAACUCCUAUUGCGAAGGCAGCUUGCUGCAGAUAAACUGACGCUGAUGCACGAAAGCGUGGGGAGCGAACAGGAUU